CGAAUCGCUGGUCUGGAUCCGCUCGUACCAGCGGGCUCACUGCUUCUCGCGCGGACGAACGCGCUGCGUGCUGCUUGUCCCUUCAUCUCAUUUCGCACCGGACGGUAGGCGACCCAUCACCGUGCAUCCACUUGUUGCCUGUAGCAACAUACCGGAUUCUUCCGGAAGGACACGCCACUGAAUGCUGCUAUAGGCGGGACCCUCCUCCCGGUGCUUCGAUGUCGGAGGGCGUGAGGCACUACAAACGUUGGAACCCGCACAGCCCCUCGAAUGGUAGGACUCAUGUACCCGGAUAUUGUCCUGCCUUCAACAGGUCCAUUCUCAAGAAUUCUUCCAAGGACUAAAUGCUAUGCUGCUUUGAAGAGGGUAAGCUGGUCGUAUCGAACCGAGGCUACCCCUCCCUUCUGCUCUGGUUUCAAUUAAUGAGACUACUUACCGAACCCACUGUCU
rnacentral:misc_RNA from 1 species